rnacentral:rRNA from 1 species
UACGUAGGGUGCAAGCGUUGUCCGGAAUUAUUGGGCGUAAAGAGCUCGUAGGCGGUCUGUUGCGUCGGCUGUGAAAACCCGGGGCUCAACUCCGGGCCUGCAGCCGAUACGGGCAGACUAGAGUUCGGCAGGGGAGACUGGAAUUCCUGGUGUAGCGGUGAAAUGCGCAGAUAUCAGGAGGAACACCGGUGGCGAAGGCGGGUCUCUGGGCCGAUACUGACGCUGAGGAGCGAAAGCGUGGGGGAGCAAACAGG